GGAGGGAUUCCCGAGUGGCUAAAGGGGGCGGACUGUAAAUCCGUUAGCGGAGCUUUCGGUGGUUCGAAUCCACCUCCCUCCACCA
rnacentral:tRNA from 1 species